rnacentral:rRNA from 1 species
AUGGCUCAGAACGAACGCUGGCGGCGUGCUUAACACAUGCAAGUCGAAACGCGAAAGGGACUUCGGUCCUGAGUAAAGUGGCGCACGGGUGAGUAACGCGUAGAUAACCUGUCUUCAUGUCUGGAAUAAUACGCCGAAAGGGGUACUAAUACCGGAUAUCUUGCUUUUCAUAAGUUAUGCAAGCAAAGGUGGCCUCUGCAUAUGCUACUGCAUGAAGAGGGGUCUGCGUACCAUUAGCUAGUAGGUGGGGUAAUGGCCUACCUAGGCGACGAUGGUUAGCGGGUCUGAGAGGAUGAUCCGCCACACUGGCACUGGAACACGGGCCAGACUCCUACGGGAGGCAGCAGUGAGGAAUAUUGCGCAAUGGGGGAAACCCUGACGCAGCGACGCCGCGUGAGUGAGGAAGGCCUUCGGGUCGUAAAGCUCUGUCAAGAGGAAAGAAGUGUACAAUGGCUAAUACCUGUUGUAUUUGACGGUACCUCUAAAGGAAGCACCGGCUAACUCCGUGCCAGCCGCGGC